AGUGAACGCUGGCGGUAGGCCUAACACAUGCAAGUCGAACGGCAGCACAGUAAGAGCUUGCUCUUACGGGUGGCGAGUGGCGGACGGGUGAGGAAUACAUCGGAAUCUACUUUUUCGUGGGGGAUAACGUAGGGAAACUUACGCUAAUACCGCAUACGACCUACGGGUGAAAGCAGGGGAUCUUCGGACCUUGCGCGAUUGAAUGAGCCGAUGUCGGAUUAGCUAGUUGGCGGGGUAAAGGCCCACCAAGGCGACGAUCCGUAGCUGGUCUGAGAGGAUGAUCAGCCACACUGGAACUGAGACACGGUCCAGACUCCUACGGGAGGCAGCAGUGGGGAAUAUUGGACAAUGGGCGAAAGCCUGACCCAGCAAUACCGCGUGGGUGAAGAAGGCCUUCGGGUUGUAAAGCCCUUUUGUUGGGAAAGAAGAGAAGCAGGUUAAUACCCCGCUGUUCUGACGGUACCCAAAGAAUAAGCACCGGCUAACUUCGUG
rnacentral:rRNA from 1 species